rnacentral:rRNA from 1 species
AGCGUACACGGUGGAUGCCCUGGCAGUCAGAGGCGAUGAAGGACGUGCUAAUCUGCGAUAAGCGCCGGUAAGGUGAUAUGAACCGUUAUAACCGGCGAUUUCCGAAUGGGGAAACCCAGUGUGACUCGUCACACUAUCAUUAACUGAAUCCAUAGGUUAAUGAGGCGAACCGGGGGAACUGAAACAUCUAAGUACCCCGAGGAAAAGAAAUCAACCGAGAUUCCCCCAGUAGCGGCGAGCGAACGGGGAGGAGCCCAGAGCCUGAAUCAGCAUGUGUGUUAGUGGAAGCGUCUGGAAAGGCGCGCGAUACAGGGUGACAGCCCCGUACACAAAAGCGCAUGUGCUGUGAGCUCGAUGAGUAGGGCGGGACACGUGGUAUCCUGUCUGAAUAUGGGGGGACCAUCCUCCAAGGCUAAAUACUCCUGACUGACCGAUAGUGAACCAGUACCGUGAGGGAAAGGCGAAAAGAACCCCGGCGAGGGGAGUGAAAAAGAACCUGAAACCGUGUACGUACAAGCAGUGGGAGCACCCUUCGGGGUGUGACUGCGUACCUUUUGUAUAAUGGGUCAGCGACUUAUAUUCUGUAGCAAGGUUAACCGAAUAGGGGAGCCGGAGGGAAACCGAGUCUUAAUUGGGCGUUAAGUUGCAGGGUAUAGACCCGAAACCCGGUGAUCUAGCCAUGGGCAGGUUGAAGGUUGGGUAACACUAACUGGAGGACCGAACCGACUAAUGUUGAAAAAUUAGCGGAUGACCUGUGGCUGGGGGUGAAAGGCCAAUCAAACCGGGAGAUAGCUGGUUCUCCCCGAAAGCUAUUUAGGUAGCGCCUCGUGAAUUCAUCUCCGGGGGUAGAGCACUGUUUCGGCUAGGGGGCCAUCCCGGCUUACCAACCCGAUGCAAACUGCGAAUACCGGAGAAUGUUAUCACGGGAGACACACGGCGGGUGCUAACGUCCGUCGUGAAGAGGGAAACAACCCAGACCGCCAGCUAAGGUCCCAAAGUCAUGGUUAAGUGGGAAACGAUGUGGGAAGGCCCAGACAGCCAGGAUGUUGGCUUAGAAGCAGCCAUCAUUUAAAGAAAGCGUAAUAGCUCACUGGUCGAGUCGGCCUGCGCGGAAGAUGUAACGGGGCUAAACCAUGCACCGAAGCUGCGGCAGCGACACUGUGUGUUGUUGGGUAGGGGAGCGUUCUGUAAGCCUGCGAAGGUGGCCUGUGAGGGUUGCUGGAGGUAUCAGAAGUGCGAAUGCUGACAUAAGUAACGAUAAAGCGGGUGAAAAGCCCGCUCGCCGGAAGACCAAGGGUUCCUGUCCAACGUUAAUCGGGGCAGGGUGAGUCGACCCCUAAGGCGAGGCCGAAAGGCGUAGUCGAUGGGAAACGGGUUAAUAUUCCCGUACUUGGUGUUACUGCGAAGGGGGGACGGAGAAGGCUAUGUUGGCCGGGCGACGGUUGUCCCGGUUUAAGCGUGUAGGUGUGUGUUCCAGGUAAAUCCGGUUCACUUUAACACUGAGGCGUGACGACGAGGCACUACGGUGCUGAAGCAACAAAUGCCCUGCUUCCAGGAAAAGCCUCUAAGCAUCAGGUAACAUCAAAUCGUACCCCAAACCGACACAGGUGGUCAGGUAGAGAAUACCAAGGCGCUUGAGAGAACUCGGGUGAAGGAACUAGGCAAAAUGGUGCCGUAACUUCGGGAGAAGGCACGCUGACAUGUAGGUGAAGUGAUUUACUCAUGGAGCUGAAGUCAGUCGAAGAUACCAGCUGGCUGCAACUGUUUAUUAAAAACACAGCACUGUGCAAACACGAAAGUGGACGUAUACGGUGUGACGCCUGCCCGGUGCCGGAAGGUUAAUUGAUGGGGUCAGCGCAAGCGAAGCUCCUGAUCGAAGCCCCGGUAAACGGCGGCCGUAACUAUAACGGUCCUAAGGUAGCGAAAUUCCUUGUCGGGUAAGUUCCGACCUGCACGAAUGGCGUAAUGAUGGCCAGGCUGUCUCCACCCGAGACUCAGUGAAAUUGAACUCGCUGUGAAGAUGCAGUGUACCCGCGGCAAGACGGAAAGACCCCGUGAACCUUUACUAUAGCUUGACACUGAACAUUGAGCCUUGAUGUGUAGGAUAGGUGGGAGGCUUUGAAGUGUGGACGCCAGUCUGCAUGGAGCCGACCUUGAAAUACCACCCUUUAAUGUUUGAUGUUCUAACGUGGACCCGUAAUCCGGGUUGCGGACAGUGUCUGGUGGGUAGUUUGACUGGGGCGGUCUCCUCCUAAAGAGUAACGGAGGAGCACGAAGGUUGGCUAAUCCUGGUCGGACAUCAGGAGGUUAGUGCAAUGGCAUAAGCCAGCUUGACUGCGAGCGUGACGGCGCGAGCAGGUGCGAAAGCAGGUCAUAGUGAUCCGGUGGUUCUGAAUGGAAGGGCCAUCGCUCAACGGAUAAAAGGUACUCCGGGGAUAACAGGCUGAUACCGCCCAAGAGUUCAUAUCGACGGCGGUGUUUGGCACCUCGAUGUCGGCUCAUCACAUCCUGGGGCUGAAGUAGGUCCCAAGGGUAUGGCUGUUCGCCAUUUAAAGUGGUACGCGAGCUGGGUUUAGAACGUCGUGAGACAGUUCGGUCCCUAUCUGCCGUGGGCGCUGGAGAACUGAGGGGGGCUGCUCCUAGUACGAGAGGACCGGAGUGGACGCAUCACUGGUGUUCGGGUUGUCAUGCCAAUGGCACUGCCCGGUAGCUAAAUGCGGAAGAGAUAAGUGCUGAAAGCAUCUAAGCACGAAACUUGCCCCGAGAUGAGUUCU